CAGCCGCCGCGGUAAUACGUAGGGUGCGAGCGUUAAUCGGAAUUACUGGGCGUAAAGCGGGCGCAGACGGUUACUUAAGCAGGAUGUGAAAUCCCCGGGCUCAACCUGGGAACUGCGUUCUGAACUGGGUGACUAGAGUGUGUCAGAGGGAGGUAGAAUUCCACGUGUAGCAGUGAAAUACGUAGAGAUGUGGAGGAAUACCGAUGGCGAAGGCAGCCUCCUGGGAUAACACUGACGUUCAUGCCCGAAAGCGUGGGUAGCAAACAGGAUUAGAUACCCGAGUAGUCCCUGUCUCUUAUAA
rnacentral:rRNA from 1 species